UCCUACGGGGCGCAGCAGUAGGGAAUUUUCGUCAAUGGGCGCAAGCCUGAACGAGCGAUGCCGCGUGAGUGAAGAAGGCCUUCGGGUCGUAAAGCUCUGUUGCGGGGGAAAAAAGGCAGCAUCAGGAAAUGGGUGCUGACUGAUGGUGCCCCGCCAGAAAGUCACGGCUAACUACGUGCCAGCAGCCGCGGUAAUACGGAGGAUGCGAGCGUUAUCCGGAUUUAUUGGGUUUAAAGGGUGCGUAGGCGGUGUUUUAAGUUAGUGGUUAAAGGUCGGGGCGUCAACUUGAUUUGCCAUUAAUACUG
rnacentral:rRNA from 1 species